CCUACGGGUGGCUGCAGUGGGGAAUAUUGCACAAUGGGCGCAAGCCUGAUGCGGCCAUGCCGCGUGUGUGAAGAAGGCCUUCGGGUUGUAAAGCACUUUCAGCGGGGAGGAAGGCGGUGAGGUUAAUAACCUCAUCGAUUGACGUUACCCGCAGAAGAAGCACCGGCUAACUCCGUGCCAGCAGCCGCGGUAAUACGGAGGGUGCAAGCGUUAAUCGGAAUUACUGGGCGUAAAGCGCACGCAGGCGGUCUGUCAAGUCGGAUGUGAAAUCCCCGGGCUCAACCUGGGAACUGCAUUCGAAACUGGCAGGCUAGAGUCUUGUAGAGGGGGGUAGAAUUCCAGGUGUAGCGGUGAAAUGCGUAGAGAUCUGGAGGAAUACCGGUGGCGAAGGCGGCCCCCUGGACAAAGACUGACGCUCAGGUGCGAAAGCGUGGGGAGCAAACAGGAUUAGAUACCCGGGUAGUC
rnacentral:rRNA from 1 species